rnacentral:rRNA from 1 species
GACGAACGCUGGCGGCGUGCUUAACACAUGUAAGUCGAACGAAGUGGCGAACGGGCGAGUAACACGUGAGUAACCUGUCCUUUUCUUUGGGAUAACGGCUGGAAACGGCUGCUAAUACUGGAUAGGAUUGGGUGGGCUCGCGGCCUAUCAGCUUGUUGGUGGGGUGAUGGCUUAACAAGGCUUUGACGGGUAGCCGGCCUGAGAGGGUGGUCGUUCGCACUGGUACUGAGAUACGGCCCAGACUCCUACGGGAUGCAGCAGUGGUGAAUAUUGCAAAAUGGACGAAAGUUUGAUGCAGCGACGCCGCGUGGAGGGUGUAGGCCUUCGGGUUGUGAACUCCUUUUUCUCGCGAAAUGGUAGUGGGGGAAGAAGCGCCGGCUAACUACGUGCCAGCAGCCGCGGUAAUAC